rnacentral:lncRNA from 1 species
AUGAGACCGGGCUAUGAGACGCCAUCCAAUGGAGCUAUACAUUGGCAGAGUCAAUUUGUGCGAGAAAAAACACAGAAACGUAAAAUUGCAUGGUCAAACUUCUUCUUUAUAGGGGCUUUUUCAAGAUGUCUAGCAACUGUACUGACGUUUCCAUUUAUUAUCAUUCAAAAUUUUCCGAGAGUGUUUGUUUUUCAACGGCGCGGUCUUGUUAUAUUCGAAUCAAACCUGCGGGCUGAUAAUUCGUCCAAAUGGCAUCCAAAAAUGUUUGCUGAUCUCGUCGAAGGAACGGGCUUUAAAAUCGUCCGGCAUUUGAUCUCCCAGAAGAGUAGCCUCUAAACCCCUGUGGAUCCAGGAUUCCCUAUUCGGCACGGGAAGGGAAACGCGAAGGGAAGAAUGCAGCCAGCUCGCCCGCGGGGCGAAGUGUCGACCCGCCUCCAAUACACAAAAGUCGGUAACCUGAAACGGUAACCCUUUUCUCUCUUUGUUUCACCUCUUAAAGGUAGAAAAUUUUUCAAAAUUAGCUCUCUUCAUCCCCCAAACGGCUUUUUUCUGCUUUCUUUCACUUGGCCUUUUUUCAAAUUUUUACUUGUUUUUUGUGCAUUUUUCUGUGAUUGUCGCGUCAAAAUGUUCAAAUCUCGCGUUUAAGUUCUUUCUCUUUAAUUAAAAUCACGCUUUUUCUCAAUUUUUCGCGAAAAUUCUCUCAUAAUUCACUCAAAUCCCCAAUUUUAAACUUUUUCGAAAUUUUCGAUUUUUUUUUCAAAUUUCGCACGUUUUUCGGCAAGUUCGGACUAAUACUAACACCAAAAUGUCGAAAUCACGCGCUUAAAUUACUUACUUUUUCUGAAAAUCUCGAAAAAUCUCUAAGAUCUCUCAAAAAAUUCGAAAAAACCGCCGUUUUUCCGAAUUUUUCAAGGCUAUUCAAAGUUCGGGAUUGAACAGUCAAAAAUCAUCAUAUUCCUUCUAUUUUCUCUCUAAAAUAAGGCACUUGUUCAUAUUCCUUCAGAAAUGAUAGCCGAAAAAUCAACUUUUCAAGCGCCGCUUCUCGGACUCUAAACUGCCCAUUUCUCGUUCUCAGACCCGCUCCCAGGGCAUCGGAGCUUUCCCAAAAACCGAAAAAUCUCCCGCGGAGCUCCUUCGCGCUCAUCACUCGCUUCGCUCGCUCUUCUGUCGCUGCGCCUUAGCGCACGUCGCUCCGCGCGUG